GGGGAAUUUUGGACAAUGGGGGAAACCCUGAUCCAGCCAUGCCGCGUGAGUGAAGAAGGCCUUCGGGUUGUAAAGCUCUUUCGGCCGGGACGAAAUCGCACGCGUGAAUAUCGCGUGUGGAUGACGGUACCGGCAGAAGAAGGACCGGCUAACUACGUGCCAGCAGCCGCGGUAAUACGUAGGGUCCGAGCGUUAAUCGGAAUUACUGGGCGUAAAGCGUGCGCAGGCGGUUUUGUAAGCCAGAUGUGAAAUCCCCGGGCUUAACCUGGGAACUGCAUUUGGGACUGCAAGGCUUGAGUACGGCAGAGGGGGGUAGAAUUCCUGGUGUAGCAGUGAAAUGCGUAGAUAUCAGGAGGAAUACCGAUGGCGAAGGCAGCCCCCUGGGUCGAUACUGACGCUCAUGCACGAAAGCGUGGGGAGCAAAC
rnacentral:rRNA from 1 species